rnacentral:rRNA from 1 species
UACGGAGGGAGCUAGCGUUGUUCGGAAUUACUGGGCGUAAAGCGCGCGCAGGCGGUCCUUUAAGUCAGGGGUGAAAGCCCAGAGCUCAACUCUGGAACUGCCUUUGAUACUGGCGAUCUCGAGUCCGGGAGAGGUGAGUGGAACUGCGAGUGUAGAGGUGAAAUUCGUAGAUAUUCGCAAGAACACCAGUGGCGAAGGCGGCUCACUGGCCCGGUACUGACGCUGAGGUGCGAAAGCGUGGGGAGCAAACAGGG